rnacentral:rRNA from 1 species
GAUGAACGCUGGCGGCGUGCCUAAUACAUGCAAGUCGAGCGAACGGACGAGAAGCUUGCUUCUCUGAUGUUAGCGGCGGACGGGUGAGUAACACGUGGAUAACCUACCUAUAAGACUGGGAUAACUUCGGGAAACCGGAGCUAAUACCGGAUAAUAUUUGAACCGCAUGGUUCAAAAGUGAAAGACGGUCUUGCUGUCACUCAUAGGUGGAUCCGCGCUGCAUUAGCUAGUUGGUAAGGUAACGGCUUACCAAGGCAACGAUGCAUAGCCGACCUGAGAGGGUGAUCGGCCACACUGGAACUGAGACACGGUCCAGACUCCUACGGGAGGCAGCAGUAGGGAAUCUUCCGCAAUGGGCGAAAGCCUGACGGAGCAACGCCGCGUGAGUGAUGAAGGUCUUCGGAUCGUAAAACUCUGUUAUUAGGGAAGAACAUAUGUGUAAGUAACUGUGCACAUCUUGACGGUACCUAAUCAGAAAGCCACGGCUAACUACGUGCCAGCAGCCGCGGUAAUACGUAGGUGGCAAGCGUUAUCCGGAAUUAUUGGGCGUAAAGCGCGCGUAGGCGGUUUUUUAAGUCUGAUGUGAAAGCCCACGGCUCAACCGUGGAGGGUCAUUGGAAACUGGAAAACUUGAGUGCAGAAGAGGAAAGUGGAAUUCCAUGUGUAGCGGUGAAAUGCGCAGAGAUAUGGAGGAACACCAGUGGCGAAGGCGACUUUCUGGUCUGUAACUGACGCUGAUGUGCGAAAGCGUGGGGAUCGAACAGGAUUAGAUACCCUGGUAGUCCACGCCGUAAACGAUGAGUGCUAAGUGUUAGGGGGUUUCCGCCCCUUAGUGCUGCAGCUAACGCAUUAAGCACUCCGCCUGGGGAGUACGACCGCAAGGUUGAAACUCAAAGGAAUUGACGGGGACCCGCACAAGCGGUGGAGCAUGUGGUUUAAUUCGAAGCAACGCGAAGAACCUUACCAAAUCUUGACAUCCUUUGACAACUCUAGAGAUAGAGCCUUCCCCUUCGGGGGACAAAGUGACAGGUGGUGCAUGGUUGUCGUCAGCUCGUGUCGUGAGAUGUUGGGUUAAGUCCCGCAACGAGCGCAACCCUUAAGCUUAGUUGCCAUCAUUAAGUUGGGCACUCUAAGUUGACUGCCGGUGACAAACCGGAGGAAGGUGGGGAUGACGUCAAAUCAUCAUGCCCCUUAUGAUUUGGGCUACACACGUGCUACAAUGGACAAUACAAAGGGCAGCGAAACCGCGAGGUCAAGCAAAUCCCAUAAAGUUGUUCUCAGUUCGGAUUGUAGUCUGCAACUCGACUACAUGAAGCUGGAAUCGCUAGUAAUCGUAGAUCAGCAUGCUACGGUGAAUACGUUCCCGGGUCU